rnacentral:misc_RNA from 1 species
GAUGAAGAACGCAGCGAAAUGCGAUAAGUAAUGCGAAUUGCAGAAUUUCCGUGAGUCAUCGAAUCUUUGAACGCACAUUGCGCCCCCUGGUAUUCCGGGGGGCAUGCCUGUCCGAGCGUCAUUACAACCCUCAAGCUCAGCUUGGUGUUGGGCCCCGCCGCCCCGGCGGGCCCUAAAGUCAGUGGCGGUGCCGUCCGGCUCCGAGCGUAGUAAUUCUUCUCGCUCUGGAGGUCCGGUCGUGUGCUCGCCAGCAACCCCCAAUUUUUUUCAGGUUGACCUCGGAUCAGGUAGGGAUACCCGCUGAACUUAAGCAUAUCAAUAAGCGGAGA